rnacentral:rRNA from 1 species
GACGAACGCUGGCGGCGUGCUUAACACAUGCAAGUCGAACGGAAAGGCCCCUUUGGGGGUCCUCGAGUGGCGAACGGGUGAGUAACACGUGAGUAACCUGCCCUUGACUUCGGGAUAACUUCAGGAAACUGGGGCUAAUACCGGAUAGGAAUCCUUGCUGCAUGGUGGGGGUUGGAAAGCUUCGGCGGUUUUGGAUGGACUCGCGGCUUAUCAGCUUGUUGGUGGGGUAGUGGCUUACCAAGGCUUUGACGGGUAGCCGGCCUGAGAGGGCGACCGGCCACAUUGGGACUGAGAUACGGCCCAGACUCCUACGGGAGGCAGCAGUGGGGAAUAUUGCACAAUGGGCGGAAGCCUGAUGCAGCAACGCCGCGUGCGGGAUGACGGCCUUCGGGUUGUAAACCGCUUUCAGCAGGGGCGAAGCUUGUGGUGACGGUACCUGCAGAAGAAGCACCGGCUAACUACG